rnacentral:rRNA from 1 species
AUUGAACGCUGGCGGCAUGCCUUACACAUGCAAGUCGAACGGUAACAGGUCUUCGGAUGCUGACGAGUGGCGAACGGGUGAGUAAUACAUCGGAACGUGCCUAGUAGUGGGGGAUAACUACUCGAAAGAGUGGCUAAUACCGCAUGAGAUCUACGGAUGAAAGCAGGGGAUCGCAAGACCUUGUGCUACUAGAGCGGCCGAUGGCAGAUUAGGUAGUUGGUGGGAUAAAAGCUUACCAAGCCGACGAUCUGUAGCUGGUUUGAGAGGACGAUCAGCCACACUUGGACGGAGACACGGCCAAGACUCCUACGGGAGGCAGCAGUGGGGAAUUUUGGACAAUGGGCGCAAGCCUGAUCCAGCAAUGCCGCGUGCAGGAUGAAGGCCUUCGGGUUGUAAACUGCUUUUGUACGGAACGAAAAGCCCUGGGUUAAUACCCUGGGGUCAUGACGGUACCGUAAGAAUAAGCACCGGCUAACUACGUGCCAGCAGCCGCAGUAAAAC